rnacentral:rRNA from 1 species
UACGGAGGGUGCAAGCGUUAUCCGGAUUUACUGGGUUUAAAGGGCUCGUAGGCGGCCAACUAAGUCCGACGUGAAAUCCCAAAGCUUAACUUUGGAACUGCGUCGGAUACUGGAUGGCUUGAAUUCGGGAGAGGGAUGCAGAAUUCCCGGUGUAGUGGUGGAAUGCGUAGAUAUCGGGAGGAACACCAGUGGCGAAGGCGGUUGCCUGGGGCUUUGCUGACGCUGAGGCGCGAAAGCGUGGGGAGCGAUCCGG